AUUGAACGCUGGCGGCAGGCCUAACACAUGCAAGUCGAACGAGUGGCGGACGGGUGAGUAAUGUCUGGGCAACUGCCCGAUGGAGGGGGAUAACUACUGGAAACGGUAGCUAAUACCGCCUACCAUCGUAUGUGCCCAGAUGGGAUUAGCUAGUAGGUGGGGUAACGGCUCACCUAGGGGACGAUCCCUCGCUGGUCUGAGAGGCUGACCAGCCACACUGGAACUGGAACACGGUCCAGACUCCUACGGGAGGCAGCAGUGGGGAAUAUUGCAAAAGGGGCGAAAUCCUGAGGCAGCAAUGCCGCGUGGAUGAAGAAGGCUUUCGGGUUGUAAAGUACUUUCAGCGAGGAGGCGUUACUCGCAGAAGAAGCAACGGCUAACUCCGUGCCAGCCGCCGCGGUAAUUC
rnacentral:rRNA from 1 species